UACGGAGGGGGUUAGCGUUGUUCGGAAUUACUGGGCGUAAAGCGCGCGUAGGCGGACCAGAAAGUUGGGGGUGAAAUCCCGGGGCUCAACCCCGGAACGGCCUCCAAAACUCCUGGUCUUGAGUUCGAGAGAGGUGAGUGGAAUUCCGAGUGUAGAGAUGAAAUUCGUAGAUAUUCAGAGGAACACCAGUGGUGAAGGCGGCUCACUGGCUCGAUACUGACGCUGAGGUGCGAAAGUGUGGGGAGCAAACAGG
rnacentral:rRNA from 1 species